UCCCUGGUGGCCAAGGGGUUAAGGCUCAGUGCUGUCACCUCUGAGGCCUGAGUUCGAUCCCCAGCCAGAGAG